rnacentral:rRNA from 1 species
UACGGAGGAUCCAAGCGUUAUCCGGAAUCAUUGGGUUUAAAGGGUCCGUAGGCGGUUUAAUAAGUCAGUGGUGAAAGCCCAUCGCUCAACGGUGGAACGGCCAUUGAUACUGUUAAACUUGAAUUAUUAGGAAGUAACUAGAAUAUGUAGUGUAGCGGUGAAAUGCUUAGAGAUUACAUGGAAUACCAAUUGCGAAGGCAGGCUACUACUAAUGGAUUGACGCUGAUGGACGAAA